AAGUCCAGUCAGCGCCAAGCAGGUGAAACUGAGAGAACCGAGACACAAGAGAUUGCAGACUGAUCGAGUUAGAGACGAGGGUCUACACAAUCCAGAUUCUUUCUCUUGUGGCUUUUUUUUUUUCUUUCUUUUUCAUCUGGAAACAAGAUAACAAAGAAACAGCAGGCCAGCAAUUUCCUUGAAACUCAGCUGCCGACUUCUCGAGAGGACGCCAUAGUUACUCAGUCAGGGUAGCGAUCUGCUACCUCCCUGAAGGCCAAAGAUGCUCAAAGUCUUUUUUGUACCUCCCGAACAGAGCAGACUUUUUCUCAGAAUCUUAGGUAUGAGUAUCUGCAAAUGAACCUGUCAUUCAUUUGAAAAUAAAGUUAUAUUGGGUUGGCCAUUAAUUUGUAAAGUAUACCUGUCUAUGGAGGUGAUUUUCUUCCCUGUCGAAGUAGUUGCAUGGUUUGAUAGCCUGCUGACUGACUGGGAAUUUUCCCUUCACAGUAUUUAAGUAUUUAACGAUCUUUAAGACCAGCCUCUGACUUCAACAAGAAGGUUCCAGCAAAAUACUGCAGGCAUUGUCUGUCAGGUCGCACUCCGCCAUCUGUUUCCUUCACAAGCCACGUACGUCAUCGCCCAUUGAUUUGCACAUGCAGCACCUCAGCCACCACAACUACCACCACCAAACUACCACCACCACACUACCACCACCACCACCACCACCACCACCACAGCAGCAGCAGAAGCAGCACCAGGAAACGUCUAAGCCGCUGGGAUAAUUGGCCAGAGUCUGAAGAGGGUCGUGUUGUAUCUGCCUGAUCGCCCUUGACCACAGCAACAGAAGCCGCGGCUCACCACCUACCCCCCAUCUCCCUACAUCCACCCACCUUCCCCAUCUCCCCCCUGUCUUCUCUCAAACAGUACCCUUCAUCACGUUGCACGUGCCCCCUUUUAGUCCAACCAAUGGUCGGCGAUUAUGUUCGUCGCUGAUGGUUUCCUUUUCGAUCCCGUCUCUGUUAAUUACCUUCUUGACCCCAUGACCUACUUGCGGCAGACAUUUGCAUCUUGAAUACACCCGCGCAUCAUGAAGACAUAAUGAGCGCCAUCUACACCACUCUUCCGUUCACGGUGAUCGAUCGCUGGAGACUGUGUACAGGCGGGAGGCAGUUGGACUGGUGACAGUUGUUUGUGUAGUUUGGCCCAAGUCACGAACAGUGUGUUCGAUGCCCGCUUUCCUGCCAUCAAUCUCAGACAGCAAUAAAACCUUGCCUGGACAUGUAUCCAGACUUUUGGAGGAAGUCACACACUCACCGCAAGCAUUUCUCUUGACAUCAGUAGAGGAAAGAGUAAUUGGCGAGGGACUGCCAGGCUGGAAAUGGCGAAAAAAUCGAACUUACAGAGUGAAAACAAGUCCUUAAAAAGACAGUGAGGAGGAAAAAAAAUAAACAAACAAUGUAAGAGUGGUCUCAGAUUAACUAAAACUUUCUUUUCCGCCAUGUUGGAGAGCGCUAAGACCUUGUCAGUACAUUUUUCUUACCAUCCUCUCAACAAACCGACAGAAACCUUUGCAUCCUGGAACUGGAACUAGUCUGGCAGUGGCGCUGGUAGGUGUAAAAGUGUCAUUUGCAUGCAAGAGCGACUUGUAGACUUUCUCCCCGAUGUUGCUUGUAGAACAUUUCUGUUCCCUGCAUACGGAGCGGACUGUUUUCCUGGCAACGGAGGAAUAAAUCAGACAGGGUGGCGGUGCCAAUGACCUGCUCGCCGUAUAAACAGUUGAAGUCUUUAAGAGCCUUGACGAGAGCCAAGACUGUGUUUGUGUGACGUGGCAGCUUUGCCCUCGGUUGGGUUCUGGGGCUCCGACCUCAGGUCUUGCUGCCUGGUCGAUGAGACUUCAUUUUAAAAUGCAGAGUUAUUAUUCUACGAAGUUUUUUUUUUCACUUGACAAGAGAUUUUUUUUAAAAACAUUAUUCUUGAAGAGAGGUCCUGGGGAAGGGUAAACAACAAUUAGAUUACAAGUGGGUUCUGGAAAAAAUAUGCUUACAUGAAUUUAAUGAGCUUUAUUUGUAAAAAAUGUGCGUGUGUAUGUGAGAGAGGAAAAGAUAAGAACAAAUGAAAGAUAAUUUGAGACAAAAGACAUAACGAUAAAAUGUUCAAAGACACAGAAGAUAACAAAAAAAACAAAAAACAAAAAUAAAUAAAUAAAAUGAAAGUGGGGGAGAAAAUAGAAUGAUGGCGAGAAAUAGAUAAAAAAACAGCUCGAAAGAGAGAACAAAGAACUUGCUGAUUACCCGCCCUGUUGAAGAAACCAUGAUGUCCAAUGAUUAAAAAAAAAAUACAAACAGCUCUGACCGUUUCAGGAGAAAUAUUACCCGGCUAGAAAGUAACUUCUGUAACAUAAACUCUACAUCUGUCACCCCCUUAAAAAACU